UACAGAGGGUGCAAGCGUUGUUCGGAUUCACUGGGCGUAAAGGGUGCGUAGGUGGCGGGGUAAGUUUGAUGUGAAAUCUCCGGGCUCAACCCGGAAACUGCAUUGAAUACUAUCUGGCUGGAGGGUUGGAGGGGGGACUGGAAUUCUCGGUGUAGCAGUGAAAUGCGUAGAUAUCGAGAGGAACACCAGUGGCGAAGGCGAGUCCCUGGACAACUCCUGACACUGAGGCACGAAAGCUAGGGGAGCAAACAGG
rnacentral:rRNA from 1 species